UACAGAGGUCUCAAGCGUUGUUCGGAUUCAUUGGGCGUAAAGGGUGCGUAGGUGGCGCGGUAAGUCGGGUGUGAAAUCUUGCGGCUCAACCGCAAGCGGUCGUGGGAAACUGGGUGGCUAGAGUGCGGGAGAGGAGAGUGGAAUUCCUGGUGUAGCGGUGGAAUGCGCAGAUAUCAGGAAGAACACCCGUGGCGAAGGCGGCUCUCUGGGACGGUACUGACGCUGAGACGCGAAAGCGUGGGGAGCGAACAGG
rnacentral:rRNA from 1 species